rnacentral:rRNA from 1 species
GGGAGCAAUCCUGGUGGCGAGUGGCGAACGGGUGAGUAAUGCAUCGGAACGUGCCCAGUCGUGGGGGAUAACGCAGCGAAAGCUGCGCUAAUACCGCAUACGAUCUAUGGAUGAAAGCGGGGGACCGUAAGGCCUCGCGCGAUUGGAGCGGCCGAUGUCAGAUUAGGUAGUUGGUGGGGUAAAGGCUCACCAAGCCAACGAUCUGUAGCUGGUCUGAGAGGACGACCAGCCACACUGGGACUGAGACACGGCCCAGACUCCUACGGGAGGCAGCAGUGGGGAAUUUUGGACAAUGGGCGCAAGCCUGAUCCAGCAAUGCCGCGUGCAGGAAGAAGGCCUUCGGGUUGUAAACUGCUUUUGUACGGAACGAAAAGGCUCUGGUUAAUACCUGGGGCUCAUGACGGUACCGUAAGAAUAAGCACCGGCUAACUACGUGCCAGCAGCCGCGGUAAUACGUAGGGUGCAAGCGUUAAUCGGAAUUACUGGGCGUAAAGCGUGCGCAUGCGGUUUUGUAAGACAGGCGUGAAAUCCCCGGGCUCAACCUGGAAAUUGCGCUUGUGACUGC